AUGGGGCGGGCGCUCUGCCACCGAUUUCAUCCGUCCGCAUCUGAAAGAGAGCUGAGACAAAAGUCAAAGUGCUGCAGGGUAACUUCACAGCUCCGGACAUCUUGUGUUGAUCUAGGAAUAUGUUCUAGACCCCAACUACACCCUACAUCACAAAUUUCAAAUUACAGGGGCCUGGGACUUGGCCUUUUACACCUACAGCCAGGCUGGGCAGCAGGGCAGAGCAGCUCCGGGACAACUACACCCAGACACCCGUGACACACCAGACACCCGACGAGGGGACACAAUGGGGAGACAAAACUCUGGGCCACAAGGACGGCCGCAAGGACUGAGAGAAUGCGGAACGAGAUGAGCCGGGUGAGAAUGAAGGCGAGCUGAUGAAGCUCACAGAACCCGGGAGGAAGAAGAUGCUGAUGGAACAAUUAACUCCAGGAACUGCCAAGACAGAUGCUCAAGAACCUGAGGGCCGCAGUCCCCUACCUAUCUUUGCGUUUCUUCAAGUCCUAAGCCGCAACAAUGGAUCCUCGCGGCGCACGGCUGUUGACACAGCUCAGAACAAGAGGUCUAAAAGACAUCCGAUCGGAUGCUUUUCAAAAGAGACGCGAUUCCAAGGCCUCUGAGAGCAGCCGAGCCGAGGAGCCCAGAGAUUGGAGAUGCUAUAAGUGAUGCUGGGGUUUCUGGUAAGCCCCCAGAAGAGAUAGGGCAAGGCACGUACAACACAAGAGGCACAAAAGACACAGAAGGCACGACGGACAAGUGACACGCCACGCCCCGAGGCUGCUCUGUCCUGCACACCUCAGCACUGUGAACAAAAGUGAGGCUCUCCCACCGUGCGGCCUAAGGGGCCACAGCCUGGACCUCCCCGUCCCCAAAGCUGACUCAAAUAUUCCAGGUCACGAGUCCCGACUAGUCCCAACUUUCAUCCACUCUGCGGAUCUCAGUCAUCGACUAUGCUCUCGAAUGCCCGCUGGGAAGGAUCCACACGGAGCGCCAAGGAAGGCCGCCUCGCCAUCCAGAAAGUUCCUGCCAUCUCCAGGAUAUCAUCUCCAGGUCAGCUACAAAAAAUAAAACAGAAAAUCAGCAGCUGAUCUGUGCA
rnacentral:lncRNA from 1 species